CUUUUUCGCAACUGUUAGUGUAGAUUUUGAUUAGCUUCAUGUCGCAUUUGCAUACAUCCGUAUACCUUAAAAGUGGAUGACCAGUGGCUCUCCUGAUUCUCUUAGAUCACCAUACAGAAUGUCUUGUGGGAGUCGACAUUGUGGCAUUCUAUGAAUGUGACCAAGCCAGCCAAGGCAUCUGCUUCUGAUAACAGUGCAGAUGUCCUGGCACCCUGCCCUUCACAGCACUUCCUCAUUGGUUAUUUUAUCUUGCCACCUUAUUUUAAAGAUCAGCCUUAGGCAUCGGAGGCUUUUAUUCCUGCCCUGAGUAGGUUGACCAUUUCACUUCCUUAGAGCAGAAUGCUCAUCACACAGGUCCAGUAGACUAAGGCAGUCACUUUGAUUUCAUUUAGUUGUCAACAUGGUAAAUAGAAUUAAGUUUUGUAUUUUUAUUAAUUCAAGUCAAUUGUAACAUUUUCCUCUUAUUGUAUGCAAGAAGUGAAUUUAUGAUUUUAUUCUAUGCAUUUAUGGACCUUUAUUUAUAGCCCAAUUUCUGUUGUUUAUUUAUUUAUUUGUGUGUGUGUGCAUAGAUCUCUUCAAAUGAAUUUGCUUUUAAAUUUGAAAUGUUGACUUCAAUUGUUUUAUAGAAAUGUUAUAUUUUUCUAUCUUCUGUUAUUUACUGUUUAAUGUGUUAUUCCAUACCAUUGGUUUAAAAUAUCUGCAUAUUUCCUUUGUAUUUAUAUACAGUCUCAAUUUGUUUGAUCUGUGUAUUUUGAUAAAACUCUUUUACAAAAGCCCUCUGUUUAAACAAAAAAAAUUGUUCUCAUUUGUCUACUUUGACUAAACUAGACUAUGAUCAUUCAACUGAUUUUUCUAAUAUACUACCAAACAAAUAACAUUAAAGAAUGAGUUUCAGCCUUCACUCCAAUGACUGAAACCUAACCUUGCUCAUACAUGCAGACAUACCUUUCAAGCUUGAAUAGGGCUAAUAAGAAAAAGAGGAUAUUUCUUGGAACUAGAAGUCAAGUAAAAAUGUUUGUUAUAUAAAUUAGCCAAACCUCCCACAGAAUGACUGGGGAUGGCAGCAGGCAGGGUUUGAACCUGGGACUAUUGAGGCCAUCCAGGUUGGUAGAGUUAAAAAGUGUGUCAUAUUACAGAACAAUGAAUAACUACUAUGAACUAUGUCUGGAACUGUACCCAAUAUUAGGCCUGCCCACUAUAGACUGGGAGAGAGCUGAGUAACUCAUACUAGAAGAAUGCAGAAAGUUGGACUUGGUAACCAGGAGAGAGUAGUGGACUCAGAAGUGCAUGAAAGAAGGGUAGACUCUUAGCAGUCCUAGCCUUCAGAAGCCCUUGAAAGAAGCAUGGACUCUUGGAAGCCCUAGUCUUCACCUGGUUUGUAACUCUCUGUUGUGCCCAAUUGUAGUGAUCAACAAUUAUGUUAUUUUUUAAUUUCAUAGCUAACUAAUUUUUGUUCUGUUUACAAUCUUAAGUUAGGCCUAUGUCUCAAAACUGCUUGUGCCUUACCGUCUCCACACUUGUACAAUUCUUUAUUCAUUGUGUAUUUGGUUAUUUUUUAAAUGUAUUUUGUCUGAGUUGUAACUAAACCUAAAGAUUAAUUAGAAAUAUCAAUUAUUAUUUGACUAUUUCUAAUUCACAAACUCUUUUAUGUAUUGCUAUUGCAACAUGGAUAUUACUUUGAAUAUAUGCUUAUAUUUUUGUUAUGUUUCAGAUUGGUGUCGUCAUGUUGUUGUUUUUUUCUUAUCUCAAUACCCCAAAAGAUCUAAUGGAAAUACUUUCAAACCUCCUUCUAUGGAGCUUAACAAAAAUGGCUUUUUUAGUCACUUAUCUAUUGCCAUUGAAUUCUGCCUCGUACAAAGCCACUUUCACUUCAUAACAACUUCCAAAACAUACUUUGAAUUAGGGUCAAGCAAAUUUGAAAACAAUCUUGCCUCAUAUUAGCAAAACAGAAUCAAAAUCUAAACUAAUUAUAAAAUUAUUUUCUUGACGCAUUUUAAGACUUGUUUAGCUAUGUGAGCUGCUGUGUUGUUUAGACUGUGUUCAACUAAGCAAUAAUAGUUUCUAAUUCCAGCUGUGCAUGGGGUUCUUUUUGUACAUGUAUCUAGAUGUUGAAGUAGCAUGUUUAUUACUUUAUUCAACAGUUUAAUAUGCAGUGAUUCCUUCACCUCAUUUCAAUACACAAAAAUCAUUAUUUGUGCAAGGAAAAACAAUGUCCAAUUUACAUACAAAUGUCCUUUUAUAAGAAAACAAAUUUAGUCCGCAAUAAACUUAUGUUAAAGGGUUACUAUUUUAAUAUAAAUAUGUAGACAAGUGAUAUAGCAUCGUUUGGUAAAAAUAUGUAGGCCAGUGAUAUUGCACAUAUCGAAACAAGCCGACAAAAUUAUUAUUAUCACUCGGUCUCUAUUGCAUUGAACCAGCGUAUCAAUUACUCGGCCGCUAUUGCAUUGAACCAGCUUAUCAAUUACUCGGCCGCUAUUGUAUUGAACCAGCUUAUCAAUUCUUCUAAAACAUUGUUUACGCCUAAAUAAAAGCAAGAAAUAAUAAUAACCUUAAUGUAGUCAUGCAUUUUGAAUGUGUUCAUUAAGUUCAAAGAUAUGAAAAAUUCAAUCGCCAGAGGAGAAACUAAAGUGAAAUCCAAUACACCUGAAAUGUAUGAAUUUAUUCUGCAGUUAACUCUUGAUAGUCCAAAGGUUAGCUGUACUUGAAAGAAUUGAACUCUUGGUAGUCCAAAGGUUAGCUGUACUUGAUAGAAUUGAACUCUUGAUAGGCCAAAGGUUAGCUGUACUUGAAACGAAUUGAACUCUUGAUAGGCCAAAGGUUAGCUGUACUUGAAAGAAUUGAACUCUUGGUAGUCCAAAGGUUAGCUGUACUUGAAAGAAUUGAACUCUUGGUAGUCCAAAGGUUAGCUGUACUUGAAAGAAUUGAACUCUUGGUAGUCCAAAGGUUAGCUGUACUUGAAAGAAUUGAACUCUUGAUAGGCCAAAGGUUAGCUGUACUUGAACGAAUUGAACUCUUGAUAGGCCAAAGGUUAGCUGUACUUCAAAGAAUUGAACGGUGUAGGUCAAGAAGUUCUAUUAGCCUUAGAUGGGUAUAAAAUAAACUACAGACGAAAAAGAAAUAGGUAUUGAUCUUUAAAAAAACACAAAACUAGAUUUCAGCUUUCUUUGACCGUACUGUAUUAACUUACAAUUGAAGGACACACCUGUAGACAUUCAGGUGCUCAUGAAUUACAUGAGUUUAGGUCGGGGGCGCCGCGUUGAAUGAUUGAGUUUGUCGGAUUAUGAAGAGGCAAACUAUCAAGAAUUCACUGCAUGUGUAAAUACAUCCCUUUAGAUCAAUCAACAAAUUUAGCUCUUGAUUUUGUGUCAGCUCAUUUGUUUCUGUUGGUUCAAAGCUGAACAAUUAAGAAAUUGUAUUUUGAUGUCAUUUCUUAUACACAUUAAUAUUAUAAUUAUGUAAAUAAAAUCGUCAGCUUAAUCGAAAACUGUCUUAUUACCUAUUUAGGAUUGCAAUUGAAUACACAUGUUUAAUUCCAGGGUGUGUAGGCCUACCUAAAUAAAGUAGGUCACCAUGCAGGUCUGUACACUUGUUAGCAAAGGUUUGUGUGCACAAAUAAAAACAAAUAAUAGAAAAGUCAAUAACAUUUCUGUCUGUGUACUUCAUCUAAGAUGUGAUUACAGACUGCUUAUGUUGACACUAUGGCCCAAUAGUUUGAGAGAAAAGAUGGGUUAGUGUUCUAAGCAUUUCGUAGAGCGAUUUGAUUUCAUGUUCAUUUAUACUAUAGUUAUGAUAUUGUACAUUUUAUUACGCCUUAGUCAAAUUAAUUCGUGUGUUUGUGUCAUUGUUUAAUUAAUGUCAUUUUAUGUAAGGGGUGGCAAUACAUGUGAAGACAUGAAAGUCAUGAAGAUCAAUAAAUGAACAUUUGUUUCUACAUUUUUUAA
rnacentral:sRNA from 1 species